CCUGCUUUGUUUAUUCGGGGCUGAUUGCCUGGGUCAUUUUAGGUUUCAGUCCUGUGGUUGGAGCCGUCUGUCCAAAAGUCACUGCUGUGCUUACACUGCCAACCACCUAAGAAUUCUUCAUGUGCUCUGGUGGGGGAGGUUUACUGCCAGCAGCAAUGUCCUCCUACUUCCUAAGAUUUUAACAUCACUUCGAGUUAAGGAGGGGAAGUUGAUUUCCA
rnacentral:lncRNA from 1 species